UACGAAGGGGGCUAGCGUUGUUCGGAAUUACUGGGCGUAAAGCGCACGUAGGCGGAUUGUUAAGUCAGAGGUGAAAUCCCGGAGCUCAACUUCGGAACUGCCUUUGAUACUGGCAAUCUAGAGUCCGGAAGAGGUUAGUGGAAUUCCCAGUGUAGAGGUGAAAUUCGUAGAUAUUGGGAAGAACACCAGUGGCGAAGGCGGCUAACUGGUCCGGUACUGACGCUGAGGUGCGAAAGCGUGGGGAGCGAACAGG
rnacentral:rRNA from 1 species